rnacentral:rRNA from 1 species
UACGUAGGGGGCAAGCGUUGUCCGGAUUUAUUGGGCGUAAAGAGCGUGUAGGCGGCCAUACAGGUCAGCUGUGAAAACUCGAGGCUCAACCUCGAGACGUCGGUUGAAACCGUAUGGCUAGAGUCCGGAGGAGGAGAGUGGAAUUCCCGGUGUAGCGGUGAAAUGCGCAGAUAUCGGGAAGAACACCCAUGGCGAAGGCAGCUCUCUGGGACGGUACUGACGCUGAGAGGCGAAAGCGUGGGGAGCGAACGGG